AUUGAACGCUGGCGGCAGGCCUAACACAUGCAAGUCGAACGAGUGGCGGACGGGUGAGUAAUGUCUGGGAAACUGCCUGAUGGAGGGGGAUAACCAAUGGAAACGGUAUCUAAUACCGCAUACCAUCAGAUGUGCCCAGAUGGGAUUAGCUAGUUGGUGGGGUAAAGGCUCACCAAGGCGAUGAUCCCUAGCUGGUCUGAGAGGAUGACCAGGCACAUGGGAACUGGACCACGGUCCGGACUCCUACGGGAGGCAGCAGUGGGGAAUAUUGCACAAUGGGCGCAAGCCUGAUGCAGCCAUGCCGCGUGUGUGAAGAAGGCCUUAGGGUUGUAAAGUACUUUCGGCGGGGAGGCGUUACCCGCAGAAGAAGCACCGGCUAACUCCGUGCCAGCCGCCGCGGUAAUAC
rnacentral:rRNA from 1 species